rnacentral:rRNA from 1 species
AGUGAACGCUGGCGGUAGGCCUAACACAUGCAAGUCGAACGGCAGCACAGUAAGAGCUUGCUCUUACGGGUGGCGAGUGGCGGACGGGUGAGGAAUACAUCGGAAUCUACUUUUUCGUGGGGGAUAACGUAGGGAAACUUACGCUAAUACCGCAUAUGACCUACGGGUGAAAGCAGGGGAUCUUCGGACCUUUCGCGAUUGAAUGAGCCGAUGUCGGAUUAGCUAGUUGGCGGGGUAAAGGCCCACCAAGGCGACGAUCCGUAGCUGGUCUGAGAGGAUGAUCAGCCACACUGGAACUGAGACACGGUCCAGACUCCUACGGGAGGCAGCAGUGGGGAAUAUUGGACAAUGGGCGCAAGCCUGAUCCAGCCAUACCGCGUGGGUGAAGAAGGCCUUCGGGUUGUAAAGCCCUUUUGUUGGGAAAGAAAAGCAGCAGGUUAAUACCCCGCUGUUCUGACGGUACCCAAUGAAUAAGCACCGGCUAACUUCGUG